CCUACGGGCGGCAGCAGUGAGGAAUAUUGGUCAAUGGACGAGAGUCUGAACCAGCCAAGUCGCGUGAAGGAUGACUGCCCUAUGGGUUGUAAACUUCUUUUAUAUGGGAGUAAAAUGUUCCACGUGUGGGAUUUUCUAUGUACCAUAAGAAUAAGGAACGGCUAACUCCGUGCCAGCCGCCGCGGUAAUACGGGGGGUAGGAGCGUUAUCCGGAUUUAUUUGGUUUAAAGGGAUCGUAGGUGGAUUGUUAAGUCAGUUGUGAAAGUUUGCGGCUCAACCGUAAAAUUGCAGUUGAAACUGGCAGUCUUGAGUACAGUAGAGGUGGGCGGAAUUCGUGGUGUAGCGGUGAAAUGCUUAGAUAUCACGAAGAACUCCGAUUGCGAAGGCAGCUCACUGGACUGCAACUGACGCUGAGGCUCGAAAGUGUGGGUAUCAAACAGGAUUAGAUACCCGAGUAGUC
rnacentral:rRNA from 1 species